rnacentral:snRNA from 1 species
AUCACUUAUUGGCCGCUCAGCUAAGAUCUAGUGUAGCAUCUGUUUAUGUCAGUUUACGAUCCAAUACAUUCUUUACCUAAAGAUAAUAUAGUAAAUGGAUUCUUAGAGCUGAGGCUGGACUAGGAAUUACUUCCCCCACUCCACACUUUGGCCUGGUAUAUCCAAGAAUGGUGCACUUCUU